rnacentral:misc_RNA from 1 species
ACGAGUUAGGGUCUUCCAGGCCAACGUGUACAACCGCUUGUUGAAACACCUUUCUUUGCUUCGGCAGCACCUUCCGUUUAACUGCGGAGGGGUAAGGCUGUCAGAAGCCUACCACCAAACUAGUUGAUGAAAUGUCAUGCUGUCUGAUACAAGUUUAGUAUUUGAGAAAUCGAAUGGCUAUUA